rnacentral:lncRNA from 10 species
GUAAGGCAGACUUGUGAACUGGACCCGUAGAAGUUAAGUGAUGUCCCUGUUUGCAGUGUCAAUGAGAUUGAGGGCUUGGGCUUGAACCCAACCUUCUCCCUCCAAAUAGCCUGCUCUUUCUGUUAUGUCAUGUUUCAUAUACAAGUUUGGGAGCCUCCAGCCCUGACUAUCCCAACAUAUACAACAUAAUGUAUAUGUUGUCUUUGGAAAUAUCUUCUGUGAAGGCCAAGCAUUUAAUAUUACAGGAAACCUUGAAGUGGAUAUGGAAGCUUGGCAGCCAGCUUGGAUCUUCCUAAGAGCCUCUUUCCUUCAUACCAUCUUCAGAGUAUAACUCCUACUUGAAGAGUGUGAGAGAAUAUUUACUACUCGGAUGUUUGAGACAUACCAAAAAAUGCUUUUUGAUCCUUUAUCAAGAAGACGUAAUGACCAAGAUUGAUAAAGAAAAAUGCAAUGGUUACUUUACCUGCAACCAUCUCAAAGACGCUCUAAUGUCAUUUCAGAGGACUUCAGCCAUGAACUUGGUGAUGAGCCAGAGAAGGUAACUUUUCAUCCCCUACAAGACCUUAAAGAAGAAAGCCUUAAAAACCCUUGAGUGAAUGGUUGGUAUUUACAGACAAGCAAAUGUAUGGAAGAGAAACGAGAGACCCAGCCUGAAUCUGUUGAAUGAACGAAAGGGGAAAUGCCCUAAGGAGUCAGAUGGAAGAAGUUUUUCUGGGAAGAGCAGAACACAGGAGUUGGGGUGCAGACCUCCUGGAUCACCAGCAGAAGGAAAAGAGCAGUGAGACGUUAAAGUGAUUGAGACAAAAAUGGAAGUAAAACAGCUUAAGGCUUUCUGAGAUCGAGUUCCUGGCAGUGUCAUCAGCAGAUGGUUUCUUCUGAAGUUCAGGGGAAGAGAAGAUGCUCGAAGAACUCUCCAGGGACUGAGUGGGUGGUACAGAGCUAGUGCUGUAGAUGCCAUGUAUACAGGCAAAUUCCCCAAUGAGUGUUUUCCAAUAUCAAGUUUAACUGGCAUUUAAGAUAUAUGCCAAAGGUAGGUAAAUUAUUUUGGCCUGUGCUUAUAGGUUUAUUUCCCUGGAUGAAGCUUUCUGUCUCUGUCCUAGUGCACUGUAGCAGAUGCAGGGUCUUUCCAUACAAUACAUUAAAAGCUGCAUCUCAUUUUAAAUAUAUUAUAGAAACCCUGAUCAUACAAUACAUACAAGAUUUUUAAGAUCAGCCUUCAGUCGAUUUUUUUGCUUUAUUUUUGUUCUGGAGGUCAAAAUGAGUGGUUAACUGUCUAAGUUGAUUGCAGAGAAAGUUACUACUCAUUCUAAACGUAGGUUUUUAGAAAAGUGUUCUUGGCAGUUGCUACCAUUGGCUUUUUCCAACUUACAUGGGAAUCAAGAUUCAGAACUGGUACACCAAUGGGAAGAGCCUGGAAAAUAGACUAUUGAUCAAGAUGAAUCUGGUCCAGAUACUUUAAGACCUUUUCAGUGUGUUUUUAAGAUUAUAAGUUUGAACUAACAGAAACUUCAAUGCUGUUUUUUCACAAGUCAAUGUGUAGUGUACUGUUAUUCUUUUUUUUCCUGUAAUAUCUUAAUAAUAUUCCUGGCUGUAAGAAAAAGUUAACACUAUACCUAUGUUUUGACUUACUUUAUAGAAGACCCAAACAAUAUUUAACAAAAGGAUUUUUCUCAAAUACUAUUUUGAAAUCACUAUAUUAGACACUAUCUUAAAUUUAUUUCUCAAUUUGCUUCUUUUUGAAACUUCCACAUUUUGGUGUUCUUUUCAGCAUCACUCAUUUUCUUUCAUAAUAAAGAUACCCAAUAACAAUAUCAUAAUAAAGAUUUGAUAACAAAUCUCCAGUUUUGGAGUGUUACAUUUCAUAUCUACAUGCUUACAGAGAAUUUAGUAUGAAUAUUCCCUGGCCUUAGUUCCUCUAAGCCUAGGAUACUUGUAGUCAUUUGGCAAAUAAUUUAAUCCAUGGCAAACAUGAGUCUUAAUACAAAAAUUAUUGAGUAGGCAAAAAAUAAUUGAACAUAUUUUGGACUGAUUACCAGUGCAUUAAAAAAGUAGAGGUUUAAGGAUGAGAAUAAUAAGUUUUUUUGUUUUUACUUAAAUUUAUAUAAAAGGAGUGAAAAUACAGUAGCCUAUAGUACUUAAGAGUGUGGGUAUAUUUUCAGCACUUAAUAAUUACUAGUUGAAUUGCAUAAUAUGGGACUAUAACUGAUAUGGUUUGGCUCUGUGUCCCCGCCCAAAUCUCAUGUUGAAUUAUAAUUUCCAAUAUUGGAGGAGGUACCUAGUGGGAGGUGACUGGAUCAUUGGGGGAAAUUUCCCCCUUGCUGUCCUCAUGAUAGUGAGUGAGUUCUCACAAGAUCUGAUGGUUUAAAAGUGUGUGGCAUUUCCCCCUUUACUCUUUCUCUCUCCUGCUGGCCAUGAGAAUAAGUGCUUGCUUCCCAUUCACCUUCUGCCAUGCUUGUGUUUCCUGAGGCUUCCCAGCCAUGCUUCUUGUUCAAGCUGCAGAACUGUGAGUCAAUUAAACCUCAUUUCUUCAUAAAUUACCCAGUCUCAGCUCUUUAUGGGAGUGUGAGAAUGGACUAAUAAAAUAUCUCUAGAAUUAUGUUUUUGGAGAUAAUUUAAAGAUAAACAAAUAUUGGAAACCUCAUUUGAUCACACAGAGAACAGUAAAUGGAAGUUCUACUUUUUCUCCAGGGCCUUUCUCAUGCUUAUGCAGGGAUUAUUCACCCAGAUAUCCUGAAAUAAGACAUCCAAUUAAGGUACCUGCUAUCUCAUGUAACACAGAAGAAAGUUGAGCAUAGAGGUUAAACAUUACCUAAUAUUGUUGGAAAAGCUUCGAAGCGUUCAUUUUCAAAGCAGCUAAUGUAAACCAUGAUAAUCACUAGUAGCACUAUGCCAUUUUAAAUACUUCAAUAUUUUGUAGUUAUUAGAUUCUAAGUAAGUAUAAAAUGUAGUGAAUACAAAUUUUAUUUGCCUAAACAGUGUUAGACAAUAUAAAUUAACGAGUUAUUUUUUAUUCUGUUUAAUAUUUUCAAGCCAAUAAACACUUUACUAAAGUAUAAAGUAGCUAUUCAUUAUUACUCUGUGUCUUAUGUUUAUGAUGUUAGAAAUGAGUAGAGAUGGUUAGCUGCCUGGGUAUCUGUUGAAAAUUCUGCUUAAACUAUGUAUUAUAAAGUUCUGUACAUUUCAAUGAUUUCUUGGAGAUUCACUGUCUAGUUCAGUUAUAAGUAAUUUAUAAUUCUAACAUUAGUCAAAACAUUUGUGGGAAAUGCGCCUUGACAGUUAUAACUUGACCAUGAAAACUGCUUUUUAAGGCCUUAAUUAGAAAGGUCAGCCUGCAUUAUUUAAACCCUUCUUAUGUAUUCUUUGUAUGCAAUUCUAUUUUCCAGUGACUGCAGGGGAUUAAAAGAAAAUUCUC